AUUCAUGUUCCGGUGAAGUUUUCGGAUCGCGGCAACGUGGGCGGUCCGCUGCCGGCGACGUCGCGAGAAGUCCACUGAACCUUAUCAUUUAGAGGAAGGAGAAGUCGUAACAAGGUUUCCGUAGGUGAACCUGCGGAAGGAUCAUUGUCGAU
rnacentral:rRNA from 1 species